UGUUUGGCUGCCCAGGAGAUGUUGAC
rnacentral:piRNA from 1 species